rnacentral:tRNA from 1 species
GACGAGGUGGGGCAGGGCCCGUCCCUCGGCGGUGAGGGCGCCCAGCACCGCGGUGACGAGGUCCGUGUUCAGGGCCACGGCCUCCGCC